rnacentral:rRNA from 1 species
UGGGGAAUAUUGGACAAUGGGUGAGAGCCUGAUCCAGCCAUGCCGCGUGCAGGAAGAAGGCGUUAUGCGUUGUAAACUGCUUUUGCCAGGGGAUAAAAUGAGCGUGCGCGCUUAAUUGAAGGUACCUGGUGAAUAAGCCACGGCUAACUACGUGCCAGCAGCCGCGGUAAUACGUAGGUGGCAAGCGUUGUCCGGAUUUAUUGGGUUUAAAGGGUGCGUAGGUGGCCCUGUAAGUCAGUGGUGAAAUAUCUCAGCUUAACUGAGAGGGUGCCAUUGAUACUGCAGGGCUUGAGUACAGAUGAGGUAGGCGGAAUUGACGGUGUAGCGGUGAAAUGCAUAGAUAUCGUCAAGAACACCGAUAGCGAAGGCAGCUUACCAAGCUGUAACUGACACUGAGGCACGAAAGUGUGGGGAUCAAACAGGAUUAGAUACCCCCGUAGUCCCUGAGCGGGCUGGCAAGGCGCAU